GGCGCCCGGAAGGGGGAGCAGAGUUUGCACGUGGGAACUUGUCUUCCUGUCUUCGAGCCAGCUUUCGGAAGUCCCCAGAGGCCACUCUCUGUAGUAGACCCUAGAGGUCGGCCCUCCAGGGCAGGGAAGGCUCGCCGCUCUUGCCUUCCGCGGCGCGUUCCCCUCCGCUCGCAGUGCUCGCGUCCGUCCGUCCAGCCGUCCGUCCUGCCGCCGCUGGCAGUCGCGGUGCGCGCCGUCCGUGCCGCCGCCCCGGCGGCCCCGGGACUUGCGCACAGCGCCACCGCCACCGCCGCCGCGCAGCCCGCCUCCCCCGCCCCCACAGGGCAGCUCGCCCGGCUCGGAGACUGCGCCACUGCAGCCGCCGCCGUCGCCGCCAGGGGGAGCGAGUCCCCGACGGGAGACGCGCCGGCUCGCUUCCUGCGAACGCGCCUUCCAACUUGAGCUUCCCGCGAACUCCGGAGAUUAGAAAGAUGGAGACCGAGUCCCGGGCGCAGUCAACAAAUCAGACACAAACAGAUUCAUUAUCUCCAUCCCCUAAUCCUGUGUCACCUGUGCCUUUGAAUAACCCAACAAGUGGCCCAAGAUACGGAACUGUGAUCCCUAACCGCAUCUUUGUAGGAGGAAUUGACUUUAAGACAAACGAAAAUGAUUUAAGAAAAUUUUUCUCCCAAUAUGGGUCUGUAAAAGAAGUGAAGAUUGUUAAUGACAGAGCUGGAGUGUCCAAAGGGUAUGGUUUCAUCACUUUUGAAACUCAAGAAGAUGCACAAAAAAUCUUACAAGAGGCUGAAAAACUCAAUUAUAAGGAUAAGAAACUCAACAUUGGUCCAGCAAUAAGAAAACAACAAGUAGGGAUUCCUCGUUCUAGUCUCAUGCCAGCGGCUGGAACAAUGUAUCUGACCACUUCAACUGGGUACCCUUAUACUUACCAUAAUGGCGUUGCUUAUUUUCAUACUCCAGAAGUAACUUCUGUCCCACCAUCUUGGCCUUCACGUUCCAUAUCUAGUUCUCCUGUGAUGGUGGCUCAGCCAGUUUAUCAACAGCCUGCAUAUCACUAUCAGGCCCCAGCACAGUGUUUACCAGGGCAGUGGCAGUGGGGUGUUCCCCAGUCCCCUGCUUCUUCUGCUCCAUUCCUAUAUCUGCAACCUUCUGAGGUUAUUUAUCAGCCAGUAGAAAUUGCGCAAGACGGUGGCUGUGUUCCUCCUCCACUGUCUCUGAUGGAAACUUCUGUUCCAGAGCCUUAUUCUGACCAUGGAGUUCAAGCAGCAUAUCACCAGGUUUAUGCUUCAAGUGCCAUUGCUAUGCCUGCACCUAUGAUGCAGCCUGAGCCAAUUAAAACAGUGUGGAGCAUUCAUUAUUAAGACAAUUGGGCAGCUCUAGUCCAGCUCAACUGAUUUCUUGUCCAUUGAUCCUUGUGUGACCAAGAUCCAGCUUCAAGGAACCGGCUAGAAGCUGCCCGUUGUGAAACUUAGGGAACCAAGGUUACAUUCUGUGAGAAGAAGCUUUUCUCAGCCUUCAUCUGUGGGUUUGAAACCUCGCUAUUCUCGAAGCCCACACUUUCAUCCUAGAAAAGAUUUCAGAGCAGAGGAUUCAGUUUCCACUCCACCUUCCUGUACUGACUUUGUUAAGUAGACUCUUGGAGAAGUGUUUUGUCUAGAAAUAGAAAAUAACUAGGCCCCCGUGUGGUCUAGUAACAAAUGGGUUGGGGAUAUGCUUAAGGUUAAAUGUUUUUGCUUUUUUUUUUUUUUUUUUUUUGAGAGAAUUUCUGAAAUCUUAGUAGCCAGAACAUUGAAGAUGCAGAGUUAAAUCAUGGUUUCCUUUAUUAACUCCAACAUUUAAGUACUACUGAGCUAUAAGCCAUAACAAGCAAGACAAGAAUUGUCUCUGUAAGGCAACAGCCCUUACAGAUCAGCAUCUGGCUGUCUAACCAGCAUGAUCAUCACACAUAACCACUUACAAACAUCUUUGAUGUUUACAUUUUCAGUUUUAUUCCAGAAGGUUCAUAUUUUAGACAAAUCUAUAGCAUAUAUAAAAAAUACUUACCAGCAGACCAUUUUUUGUGUAUGCUAUAAUUUAAGCAAACACCACCUUGUAAGGGGAUGAUGUACAUAUUGUAGUUUCCACAUUAUUCUGGUUUCACUACAUUUGUGUUUGUGUGUAUUUUACCUAUAUUAAGUGGUUUUAAUAAAAACAUUUCAAACUCUUACAUUACACAUUUUUACAAACAUUGAUAUAGAACAAUAUUUGUGUUAUAAAAAAAUCCAUAAAACUGUCACAUUAAUAACCACUUAUUGUAUAUGGUUACUGUGGCCAAAGUGAAACUAUCCUUAAAUGUCCUUAAAGAUUAUCUAUUUGUGGGCCCUUUUCUGUCAUUUAUACAAUGUAGUAGAAUUGCUCAUAGGGCAUAGCAUCUUAGGGAUUAUAAUUCAUAGUUACAUCAUGUCAGAUUUGAUACUGUCAGUAUUUGUAUCUUUCAUUCAUUCGGUUCUUUGUAAGGCUUAUAGGCUUUUAAAACAUUAGAAUUUUUCCAUAACACAGUUUUAUUUUUAAAUGCAAAGAAGCUAUGAUUGCCUGCUGUUAUGGAAUGAGAGAAGUUUCUAAAAAUUAAAAAAUAUGCCACAAUAAUUAGAAUUUUAACAUUAAAAAAUUACUAUUUUUUAAGUCAAUGCCUUCUGUUUACCAAAUGUUGUGACUUCUGUAAGAAAAAAAAAACUGCACUCCUUUGACAGAAGCUUGGUUAGUAAAAACAACAAGGCUAUGUAAAAUCAGCAGUGUUUCAAUUGACUACAUGGAAGUUUAUUUUAGACUUUAAUGAAAUUUGAUAGUACAAUACUUGUAGAAAAUACUAGAACUUCAGUAUGUUAAAUUUACAUCUACUCCCAAGAAUACUAUUAGUACAAUUAACACUGUCUUAUACGUCUCCUGGGAAAGAGUAGAAAUUAUAAAUUAUAAAUUUUAAAUGUUCUUAUCAGAAAAGCAAUUCCCAAAUAAUUUGAAUUAUUUUUUUAUUCUGUCUCAUAAAGGAUGAUGACUAUACUCAUGGAUGUACAUAUAUAUUUGGGGUAUGUGAUCCUAAUAUUUUGGGGCUAAAAUGCAUGUCUGUGAAUAAGAUAUAAUAGUAUUGUGUAUUAGAUAGUAUCUUCAUACAUCCUAAGGCCAUUCCAUCUACUUAAAAGUAUUUUCUUUUGCUAGAGUUACUUUAAAAGUAACAUGCUAUAUGUAAUCUACCAGAGCCCAGGCCAAAAUAUCAUGAAACUAUAUUUGAUGUUCAGGUUACCUGUUUUCAGUGUACAUUUUAGUCCCAUAUUUAUUAUUCAGGCUUAUUCAAUGAAUAACAGGCAUUUCUAAAACCUUUAUAAAUUCCAAGAGUCUGAGAGUAAUUGUAUUUUGCAUUUAAAGAAAAACUUAUAGUUUUUGCUACCCAGUUUAGUUCAGGCAAUUAUGUUGUCUCCUAAAAUAUACUGUACUUCCACAUUUUCAUUCAAUUCUGUAAAAAUUAUAUAUUACUAUAUUUCUCUCUGUAGACUGUAAAGUAUUAAAUGGAGAUAACAUGAAAAUAUACUAAGGUAAUCCCUCAAAAGAUACUCCUCUGCUUAAGUUGUGAUGCCUUGCUUUUAUUUUUACAAAUGUAACAAAAGUAAUUUUAACAACUAUAAAACAUCAGUGUCUAAGCUUUCAGUUUCUAAAGUCUUUUCAUAAGCCAUCUUCUACAACCUCAUCCUAAGUUUCAGACAGUUCUGAAACAACCACUAGCAGUAUCUAAAGGAAUGUCUAAUCAGCCUAAAAAUUACUGCUGAAAUACAUCCUCUUUCCUUGGCACUUUAGAGAUACAAAAAAAAAAUAACUUUAAAGUAUCCGUUAACAAUUUGAGAUUAGACUUAAUACAGUGUGUUUCUUGCUAAUCAAUAUUAGGAUCUUUGUUUUCAGCACCAAGAUAAACACAGCUACAGAGUAUAUACCCAUAACAUUUUUUACAACAUAUAAAAGUAUGCGGACAGAUUUUUAAAAGAUACUAGUAAACAUAAAUUGUUCUGCCCUUUGUAAAAAGCUAAGUGCUGACUAGUAUAGUAGUGGUAGUAUUCUUCUCAGACUAUUGCAAACUGUGAAAACUGCUUUUAAUUAAAAUAACAUUUACUAUCCUGAUGUUAAAAAAAAUGAAAAUAAACUCAGCAAAAAUCUCAAGUUUACAGGGGCUUAUGUGUUUAAGCCCAUGCCCUGGCUACAUAUAUAAUCUUUACAGAAUUUGUUUUAAACUGUUGAGCUCAGACAUACACACUUUUAAAUAUUUAAUAUUUAAAUGUCUACCUCAACAAAGUUACCAAUGAUGGUUUCUGAUAAUUUGGUCUAACCUGACUAGCCCCCUUUUUAUUACUUGGUUUUUAAGGAACAAGUUUUCACUAUGACUCUUGUCUGUCCAUCUGAAAUCACAGUGGUUUCCUAAUACAUUUACACUGGACUACAACUAUACAUUUAUACAGUCUGUUCAUGUCAGAGUUACUAGCUCUCUAUAUGAUUUCCAUGAACUACCAAAAAAAAAAAGUAUGUUCUCUUAGGUUAGAAAACUAAUUUAUGACAUCAGUUACAUCCAAAAAUAUUUUACUCAAAAUUUGGUGUGAAUUAGUUAUAUUACAGAGGCUUAUUAUUAGAACAAUAGCUUAACUAAAAAAAUAAUAAUAAUUCCCUUGAGCACUAAGCAACCAUUUUUAAUAUUUUAUACUAGGUUAAAACAAUGUCACAAUGAAUGUUAAAAAUGUUUCCUUUGCAUCCAAAUAAAAAUCCUUAAAGUGGCAUGAAAAUCCAACCAACCAUCUUUCAUGCAACUAACUAUAUACAUUUUCAGUAACUAACCUAAGUACUUUCAGAUUUCGUCUAUAAUAUCAAAGUAAGCUUAUUUUAAUUAGAUGCCAAUAAUGAGUUAAAAAUAAACAAUGGCUAGCAAGUAUAGAUCAAUGGUAGAAUGUUUGCCUAACAUGCACAAGACCCUGGUUCAAUCUACAGCAUUUUUUUAAAAGCAAUUCACAAUGAAACUAGAAUACAACUUAACACUAAAAACAUCUGCUUUUAUAUACAACAUAGGAAGUUUCUGUAAAAUUCGUUUUAUAGGAAUUUAACUAUAAACGUCAGUGUAUUGAUUCUAGUUUACUAAGAUUGAAAGUUUGUAUGUUAUGAAUGCUUUCACAGUUCCUCUAGUAACUGGCAUAUAAAGGUGUUCUGUCAGCAGGCCAUUCAUGACCUACUGUGCAUUUUUUGAAGAACCUAACAACAUCAUCCCUUGCUAACCAACGUCUGUCUAUAUUCAAAUAAGACCCUAAAGAACUUACUUUAAGUCCAAAAUUAAAAUGUAGAUUUCCUGGCCUUCCUAGUUAACAAGGAUUUUUAAACAUUUGAUUUCUUAAAAUACAUUUUUCUUAAGAGCUGAGACCUAUAUAAAGAUGGUCUCAUCCCAUUUCCUUGAAGUGAAACUCACAUCUAACAAAACAGCUAUAAAUACUCAGUAUUUCUUUUUUGCAGUUCACAAUAGGUACUAGUUUAAAGAGAUGAGAAUGUAUUGACUAUGCUAUGAAAUAAAAAUUUAUCAAUAAUUACCCAGUAUGUGGCAUUUAGAUAAUGGGUAAUAACCAUAGCCAAAGGACCUGGUUUCUGCAAUCUUCUUAGGAAAGUCAUAAGAAUGAUGUCAUAGAACUUAAACUGUUAGUAAGUGAGUAAGUUUUAUUAAUAUGUUCAUUUGUAUUAUACUGUAUGUAUGAAAUAAAGUUUCACUGUUUGUGGCCUCUAGUAAAUUCUCUAGCUUUGUUACUAUAAUAGUUAAUUAAAAUAAACUUGACUAUUGACUAAAGAUAAAUAUAUAAAGUUUUGAGGAAAUGUCAUUUCAAAGAUGCUUAUUAUUACCCUUAUGAAUUUAUGACAAGAUACUUUUCAUCUUUAGCAGAUUCUUAAACUCCCUCCAUGUGACUCCCUUUUCAGCCAAGACAUUUUUAUAUGACUCUGAUAUACAUGAAUAGUAUAUGCAUGCCAAACAUUUACAAGAUAAAUCAUACAUUUAGUUUACAGCAAUCCUUUUGUACACAUAUAAUCUUACCAUUUAUUAAAGCCUAAACCAAAUAUGUAUAUGAAAAUGAAUGUGCUUAUUGUUGUUUAAAUAAUUAACUGAGCCAGUGAGAUGGCUCUCCAGGCAUCGGUGCCUUCUGUGGGAGUCUAGGAACCUGAGUUCAAUCCCAGCACCGUGCACAGGCGGAGGGAGAGAAGCGGCUUCACAGAGCUUUCUUCUGACAUCUCCAUAUGUGCCAAGACAUAGAUCAGAUGCACACAUACCGACAGUAAAAAUACUCUACACCUGUACGAGUUAAAUCUUGGCUAAAUGCAAACACUUGAAGAUUUAAAACAUCUUCAACAUGUUUCAGAUUACAAAAUCAAUUUUUAUUUUAUAAUCACCAGUGCGGAGAAUGCCGCUUCAUAUAAAUACAUCAUACAAAAUGGCAGAAGAAUGUUUAGGAUUGUUUCAGAAAUUGGAAAUUCUAAUCUAAUCCCAAACUGCAGUUCAUUUAACUUUUUUAAAAAUCAAACUGAAGUCAGCAACUCAAACCACAAGUUUUAUUCUUAUUUUAUUUUUAUAUGUUAUUUUACUUUUCUAUUGCUCUAAUAAGACACCAUGACCGAGGCAACUUAUGAAAGAAAGUAUUUGAUUGGGCUUAUUAUUCCAUCAGUAUUGGUACAUGCCUUUAAUUCCAGCCCUCGGGAGACAAACCGGUGAACUUCUGUGAGUUCAAGGCCAGGCUGAUCUAAAUAACGAAUACCAAGACAGCCAAGACUACAAAGUGAGACCAUUGAGGAUAUCGAGGAAGGGACCUAAUUUAAAAAAAUUAAAAUAAGAA